UUCAUUUCUUCCAGAAUCGCUCUGGGCACCUGCUUAAAAUAAUUCACAUAAAGGGAAAAAAUAGCGGAGAAACAAUAUCAAACUCUAUCACUCUAAAUAGGACUCUAAACUAUUUAUUUCCUGUACGAAUGGUUUCUUAAAAUGCCGAAUCUGCCAUAAAACCAAAACAGCAGCACACAGGAAAUCAAUGGUGCUUUAUCUUCUUAAAUGGUUUUGAAGAACUUGAAUGUCCAAUCAGGUUUCAUUACAAGCCACUAAAACUGAUUUAGGGGAUAGGCAGGAUACGAUACGCGUUAGGGAACAUUACCAUUUCACCAGGAAAAUCGGCAGUAAUGAAAAGGCAGCUUUAAUUAGAACCAUUGCUGGAUUACUGGAAGCUUUAGAACAGAGUUUGCUUUGCUGCUGAGGACUUGUGAAGACCCAGUGGACAUUGGAGAAUUGGAUCUCUGAGAAAGAUUCCCUGACAGCGAUCCAGUCAGCAAGGUGGCGAGGAAACAGACCAGCAUGGGGUAUCACACACCAAGCUCAGCAGGGAGCCCUCCAGGAUGUACCCUGUCUCCUCAGCUUGCCAUGAUGGACGCCACAUCUCCAAGACCCAUGCUGGGGUGGUGGAGGGGCCUGGAGCCUAUCCCAGGCAGCACCGAGCACAGGACUGUGGUACACUCUGGAACAGUCAUUUCCAGGCCUCCUGUAAAGUCAGGAUCAUGAAUAAAUCAUGGGACAGAACUUAGCACCAUUUCUAUCCUCUUCAGCAAAAAAGAUGACUUCACCGGGCCUUAAUACAUUCAGGAGUCAGACCCCAGAUGAACUCUGAUAAAUUCCAACGCCACAAAGGUGCAGCAGCGAGGUUCUAGGUGGCCCUGCCUAGAGCCAUCCUGGGGGAGAUGGAGGCUCGUUCUUUAUGUCCGAGGGAAUGGAAUACAAAGCUUCAGACUGGGGCUGCACCUGGGCAUAAUCAGACUGCAGCAAGGGGGGGGGGGGCAAAACACCCCAGACAUCCUUUGAAAACCGUUCAACGGUUCAGCUGUGCCAUGCUACGCACCGCACGUUACCAGAUUAGAUAAAUAGGCUGUGAGUGUGUGUGUGCGCACGCUCGAGUCUGUGUUCGCGUGUGUCUGCCCGCACACUCCCUUUUGUUGUUGUUUAUUACCGGAGCGUCUCCCUGUGGGAGCAGGUGGUCCGUUAUUAGCCGUGAUCAGAGCAGAUACUAAGGCAGUCAGCCGAUGACAUGGGUGCCGAAACGGUUUUUCAGCGGCAGCCUGCUGCUCAUCUUGACAGCCCGUUCAGAUGAAACCUGCGAGCUUUUGGUAGAGUUAUAUUCCUCCCAAUGGCGUGGAGUAGCAGUAGAAGGUGAAUAGGACUAUUUUACUCCACCAAGAAUCCCCAGCUUGUGUCCACUGGGUAAGAGAGUCCAGGCCGCAGCGAAUGACUCAUUAUUCCCGCUCAGCUCAAUAUUUUUGGGGUUAGGGUCACCGACAAGCCCAGGAUACUUAAGUGUGAGUUACUCUGACACAGAUGAGGGUUGCAAGAGUCUGAGCCCAGUCUUGUUAUCAUCAACAUUUCAUACCGUGUUUGACGUGAAACGGGUAAAAAUAAACACCUCGCUGAGCCAAAGAAGCGUAUUUGAUCAAACACCCACAAUUGGGCAACAGUGGGACUGCUGAAUGUUGUCAAAGAGAGUUUGCCUGCUGCUAGUAAAUUAUGCAGGGUCUUAUCAGCACUGUGUCUUAAAACAAUGACAUGUGUGAUACAUCUACUCCAGAUGACUAUAUCAAAUCUGUUCUACGUUACAGAGCAGGAUACGUUAUCAUUACAAAGAUGGAAAUCUUCGGAAAUCUUCUCUUGAGAAUUAUCGAAUCUUGAGGCACUAAUCUGGAUAAUAAUACAUCUUCGUUUUUACAGCCCGGAGAUGAGCAGGCAGUAUAUCAUUUAAAUAAUUUAACGAACAAGUGUGUUUUUUUAAACACACGGAUGUUACCGUAAGAAUUAAUUAGCUAUUAAAACGUUAAUAACUCUGCCGGCUAAGAACAGCUCGUAAUCGUGCUGCAAACAUCUGCAGGCAAGCAACAUUGACGGUUAGGCUGAUAUCUAGGCGACGUGCAUAAUUUAGCAUCUGCAUUACCACCAGAGUGGCCUGGGACUUCACCAUGCCAUGCGACGUGAUGUAGAGCAUUACACCAAGUCGCAAAAAGGCACGUUCGCGCAAAGAGAUGCCAGAUCAUGAAAAACGGGAGCUGAGCCCUGUCUGAGGACCCAGAGCGGCGUAACAGUCAUCCAUAAAUACUGUCAAACGAGCCUUCCCGAGACGUGACACUUAAUUAUCCUUGCCAAAAAUACCCCAAGUUCAUGCAAAGCCAGUCCCCGAUGUGUCCAGCAAAGAUGUCGACAUUCUAGAGGUGCAAGACUCCAGGCUCCUAAUUACCUUCUGAACAACCUUUGAGCGUAAAAACGUUCCCCUUCCCCAUUAACGGCUCACACGCUGCCUUUGAUUACAAAACAAACGACAAACAAAUACAGGCCAGGGCUGUUAUGAACUUCGAGUCUUAACAUAAAGUGGUGCAUGUCAGUGUACUCAGUGUGCACGCUUGCUGUGAUGGAGUGGCACUAUUUUUAGUGCUGAACAGCACAGUCUGACCUCCCCCAGGCAUUAAUUGGGCUGUUAAAGGGAAGCAUUAACAAGCACAGCAAUCCUCAUUUGUGUUUGCUUAUAGUUUAAAACCCAUACAGCAAACAUCUGGCAACAGCUACUACGAUGCACAACAAACCAUAUUCUGCAUUACUGUACUGAGGCAAUUAGGAGCGGAUUAAUACAGAAUAAUAUUGUACGAACUAAUGAUUAUUAAAAGACUGUCUUGACAAUGCUCUACAAGAACAAUAAUGCAUUUUUCCCUCUUUUUAAUGUUACUGGAAGUCAACAUGUGAAAUUUAAACAGGCCUUUGUAGUGUGAUGUAGAUUCCAAUGCAAGUUCCACAGUGGGAAAUGGAGAAAGCACUCAUUCUUUCCUCUGGAAACUUAUAAAAAAUCAUACUGGACUGAUGAACUGGAACACUGAGCCGUAAGUAAGACCAUAUUCCAUAUUACAUGGCACAGCAAGACUGACUCCAGUGGUUGUUUAAGAUGUCAUGACACCAUUUCAAUCAGCUUUAGCUGCAUAAAUCCAUACAUUUAACCUCUUAACGAUUUCACAAACCGCUGGGGAUGUCUGGGCCAGUGUCUCCUUUCUGGCAUCCUAGUCACUUGUAAGCAGAUGUUUCGAAAACAAAAUAAAUGGCUAGCAAGAAGAGUUGUAAGGUUAGUAGAACAUGUUGUUUCAUGAUCUCCUAAAUAAGGAAAGCAUUUAUUUAAUAUUUAGUGUCGUGCCAAUAGGGGGGCCCCAAACAUCGAGGGCCCCAAACCUCGAGGGCCCCACACAAAUGUAUGGUGAGAAAUGCUGCCACUCGGGAUGAUAAACACAGCUGAUGUAUAUAAGACCACGAGACAUUUGCAUAUGUGUUAAAAUGCAUUUGCCCUUAUAGGGCAUUAUAUUUAAUUAUUAUGCCACAACUACAGCAUCAAAGUGGAAUUUACUGGGAUUCUCUAUGGGCUGAAAAAAGUAAAUGUGAUAUAGCAUAACACAUCUUAAAUGUCUGAAAAUGAAAACCAGAGAGGGGUGCCUCUGUGGGUAGCACUGUAGUCUUACACCUCCGGGGGGGGGGUCAGUUUUAAUCUUGCCUUGUGAAGUCUGCCUGUUCUCUUUGUGUUCCCCCCCCCCGUGUUGUUUGGGGUCCCUCCCGCAGCCCAGUGCGGCUAGGCUAAUCCUCACCCUUAAACUAGCUGAAGGGUAUCUGUGCUCUGUGAUGGACUGGCAUCCUGUCCAGGGUGGACCCCAGCUGCUUGGGGUGAUUCUCCUGGCCCACCAUGAUCUAGACCAGGAUGAGCAGUUAGAAGAUGGAUAAAAAAAUCAUAAAAGAACUGAUUGCAUAAGUAUUCGUUCUGCUCUUGGAAGCAUUUGCAACAAUCAUAGAUGGACUCUUGGGGUAAAUCUCUACCAGGUUUGCAUGCACGUGUCCAGUGCUUAUCACAGUAGGGUUCAGGUCUAAGCUGUACCAUCAUCCCUCCAGGACACAGACUCUUCUUGUUAUUAAGCUAUUCCAACAUGGCUUUGUCUGCAUGCUUUGGGUCAUUGUCCAUGUGGAAAAUAAAUCCUCUCCCAAGCCUCAGGUCUCCUGCAGACUGCAGUCAGGUCUCUCGGUAUAUUUCACCAUCCUGUUCACUUUGCAGUCCCUGAAGCAGAGAAGCAUUCUCAUAAUGCCACACUGCUCCCACCAUGCUUUAUGGUUAAGAAUAGUGUUUUUUUGUUUGCUGUGCAGCAUUAUGCUUUCUCAAAACACACAGCUCGCCUUUAAGGCCAAAAAAAGUUCCAUUUAGGUCUCAUCGCAACACUGAAUCUUCCUCAGCUUGGCCUCAUAGUGUCCCAUAUUAUCUUUGAACAAACUGCAGUUCAUGGUUUUCUUUCCCCCAACAAUGGUUGUCUUUUUGACAACGUUCCCUAACACCCAGCCAUAAAAACUCCCAAGUUUAUCCUAUAAACAGUGCCUCGUAUUUCUCUUACGGAAGCUUGAUGUCACAAGCCUCCUGGUGACCUCUCUUCUUGCAUAGCUACUCAAUUUCUAGAUGCUUUCUUACUGAAUCCUUUCACAUUUGCUUAUGGUAACCAUGCGCUGGCGGAUUUCAGUAUCUGUGAAAUGUUCUUAUAUCCUUUAUCUGACAGGUGAUGUUCUGGAAAUUUAUCCCAGAAUUGCUUUGACUGUUCCUUUAUAAAAGGUACUUUUUAUUGUGCUUUGUUGUAGCAUUCAGCAGACAAGUAUAUAACUGCCCAUACAUGGAGACCCUUUAAAUAACCUUUUGACUUAUGAAGAUAUUGAAGAAGUUAUUGAAGAUAGGUGUGUUAUAGUAAAAAUUAAUUUAAAGUACCUUGUUUAAAAAAGUACUUAAUUAGUAAUCACUGUGAUAUUAACAGUACCAUGUGUUCAUCAGACAGAUUCUAGCUUGAUUCCAUGUUGUGGCACACUAUCAUUUAGAAACGGACAAUGGGGAUGUGUAUCUUUUACACAGCUACUUCAGAGUCGCUAUUUACGCUCACUGGUUUCAUGGCACAAUGCCUGAGAUGUUAAUUACAGCGGACAGAGGUACGCCUAAAACGCCAAGAAAGUGUCCCUCGGAUAUCCUUCCCGGCAGAUGCCACACGGAUGAGUCACGACCCCCUGAACCCUUUUAGUGGAGGUUGAGGACUCACUAUAAAGGCACCAUAAACAGUAAUGUCACUUUUAAUUUAGCCACCAUUCACACUCAAACUCAUCACAUCUGCUCUUCUAGGAUUUAUCUCUGUGUAGGUACUCUGUGCCGUUGGAUAUGUUAGGGGGGGAGCGGGGGGUGUCAAUGCAACCCUACUGGCAAUAUAGUUUGAUAAAUUUCUGCCAAGAUGAGAUCAUCAAAUGCCUUCCAACACUGCACAUAUAAUUAGAGGAGUGUCAUUAAUCAUGUGUUGCAGGGCUGUUUGGGGUAAUGAGAUUCCAAAAGUGGAAUUUAUUAUGCUGGGGUGGCACUAAGCACUCUGUUUAUUACAUAGAAAUCUUGACUUCAUACUCAGAAUCUAAAGGCUUGGCCCAAGUAUAUACCCACUUGCUGUAUAAUCGAGCAAAAACCAGAACUUGAAUAUACAGCCUGUUUUCUAUUUUUUACACUGACUUCCACUAUUUAAAGAACUGACCGGUUUCUCACUAAACAUUUUGCCUUAUGUUGUCUGUUGUUACAUUAUUAUUAUCUAAGACACAUCUAAUAACCCAAUCAAAUCACAGACG